AUGUACCACCCGUACACUCCGGUUCCUCCGCGCCGUCCGCAUCCAUCUGACGACCACUCGCUACGCUUUGUUAGCC
rnacentral:sRNA from 1 species